rnacentral:misc_RNA from 1 species
GAUGAAGAACGUAGCGAAAUGCGAUACUUGGUGUGAAUUGCAGAAUCCCGUGAACCAUCGAGUUUUUGAACGCAAGUUGCGCCCGAAGCCGUUAGGCCGAGGGCACGCCUGCCUGGGUGUCACACAUCGUUGCCCCAAUGCCAAUCGCCUCACUUUGUAGGUAUUUGCUGGGGGUGAAUGUUGGCCUCCCGUGAGCUUUGUCUCACGGUUGGUUGAAAAUCGAGUGCAUGGUGUCGGGUGUACCAUGAUGGAUGGUGGUUGAGUGAUGAUGCUCGGGACCAAUCAUGGGUAACUCCACCAGAAUUGGGCUCGGUGACCCACAUGCGUCCCUUGGAUGCUCCCUAAGGAGACCUUAGGUCAGGCGGGGCUACCCGCUGAGUUUAAGCAUAUCAAUAAGCGGAGGA